rnacentral:rRNA from 1 species
GUGAGGAAUUUUGCGCAAUGGCCGCAAGGCUGACGCAGCAACGCCGCGUGGGUGAUGAAGGCCUUCGGGUCGUAAAGCCCUGUCAGGUGGGAAGAAAGGCCUGGAGAGGAAAGGUUUCAGGUUUGACGGUACCACCAGAGGAAGCACCGGCUAACUCCGUGCCAGCAGCCGCGGUAAUACGGAGGGUGCGAGCGUUAUUCGGAAUUACUGGGCGUAAAGCGCGUGUAGGCGGGGGGACAAGUCUGAUGUGAAAGCCCUGGGCUUAACCUGGGAAGCGCAUUGGAAACUGUUUUUCUUGAGUACUGGAGAGGAAGGGGGAAUUCCCGGUGUAGAGGUGAAAUUCGUAGAGAUCGGGAGGAAUACCAGUGGCGUAGGCGCCCUUCUGGACGGUAACUGACGCUGAGACGCGAAAGCGUGGGGAGCAAACAGGAUUAGAAACCCGAGUAGUCC